UCGAGAAUCUUCGGCAAUGGACGAAAGUCUGACCGAGCGACGCCGCGUGCGGGAUGAAGGCCUUCGGGUUGUAAACCGCUGUCGUAGAGGAUCAAAGGUAUUGGGGUUCUCCCCUUUAUUUGAAUGAUUCUAGGAGGAAGGAGAGGCUAAGCUCGUGCCAGCAGCCGCGGUAAGACGAGCUCUCCAAACGUUAUUCGGUAUUACUGGGCUUAAAGAGUUCGUAGGCGGCUUUGCAGGUGGGGUGUGAAAGCCCUCGGCUCAACCGAGGGAUUGCGCCCCAAACCGUAAGGCUUGAGGGAUAUAGGGGUAAGCGGAACAGAUGGUGGAGCGGUGAAAUGCAUUGAUAUCAUCUGGAACACCGGUGGCGAAGGCGGCUUACUGGAUAUUUACUGACGCUGAGGAACGAAAGCUAGGGUAGCGAACGGGAUU
rnacentral:rRNA from 1 species